rnacentral:rRNA from 1 species
CUGUCUCUAUUUAAUUAAAUAUUUGAAUUUAAUUUUUAAGUUAAAAAGCUUAAAUUUAUUUAAAGGACGAGAAGACCCUAUAGAGUUUAAUUAAUAAAAUUUAUAAAAAAUUUUAAUUGUAAUUUUAUAUAAUAUUUUAUAAUUUUAUUGGGGCGAUUAAAAAAUUUAAUAAACUUUUUUAUUUUAUUUAACAUUUGUAAAUGAAUUUUUGAUCCUAUUUUUUAGAUUAAUAGAUUAAAUUACCUUAGGGA